UUUUUUUUUCUUUUUUUUUGUCCCAUAUCAUUUAAAUCAUUUCUAGAUUACUUAUAAUACCUAAUACAAUGUAAAUGCUUUGUAAAUAGUUGUCUCUGGGUGGCAGAUUCAGGUUUUGCUUUUGGGAGCUUUUUGUACAUUUCUUCCCCUUCCCCAAAAAAUGUUUUAAGCUGCGGUUGGUUAAACCUGUGAUGGGAAACCUGGCUAUGGAAGGCCAACCAUACUGGCCUCCAGAUGCGUGAAAAAAUGAAAAUUCUGUGUGUGACAAGAUAAACGCAUAUCUAGAAAUCACUCUGGAAACAUGGGAUGGUAAGAAUUUAGUUUUUCUACCAUGAAUUAGAUACGGCUCACCCUCUCACUUCCUUCAGGUCGCUGCUGAAACAUCACCUCCAUGAGGCCCUUCCUGGCACCACUGUACCAAGUAUGCUGCCCUUUACUCUCUCUGUGCCUUGCUCUGCAGUUCUCCUCAUCAGCAGCUGACACGCUGUACAUUUGUUCAGUCUCUGUCCCCAACCAGAAGGCCAAGAACUUGAAAACUGACAUUGUCUUCCCUGCUAUAUGCCUGGUUCCUUGAAAGUGCCUGCCAUGCCAACGGACCCAGGGAAUCACAUCCAUCUGCCUGCCAGUCCAUCUACCCACCAAAAUAUCCACCCACCAUGUGGUAAACACCAGCUGUGAUCUAGACGCUAUGAUGGAUGUUCUGUCAUAGGAGAAAGACACACAUGAGUGAGGCAGUCGAGGUUUCUGCUCUAAGAGAGACAGAUGCCAGGCAGAGGUGUGGCUACAAACUACAAAACUAGGAGUUCCUGUUGUGGCUCAGUGGUUAACGAACCCAACUAGCAUCCAGGAGGAUUUGUGACUCGGGUUUGAUCCCUGGCCCAGAAACUUCCACACACCAUGGGUGUGCCCCCACCCCCACAAAAAAUAGAAAGAUCUCAAAUUAAUAACUUCAACUUCCACCUUCUAAACUCAAAAGAGAAGUGCAAACUAAAUCCAAACCAAAUGAAGGAAAAAAUUACCAAAGAAUGGAGAUACAUAAAAUACAGCAUUUAAAAAUACAGAAAAAUCCACAAAAAUCUAAGGGUUUUGUUUGUUUGUUUUUAAAGAUCAACAAAAUUAACGAACAUUUUCACAGGCCCAGCCCAAACUUUUUUUUUUUUAAAUAUGGGGUGAAAUCCCCAUUUGUUUCUGCAUCAGUGAAAGUGCUUCUUAAAGGUCUGAGAAAACCUUGGAAUGAGGGGUAAAUGCAGCUAAAACAUUUUUUGGCAACAGAAUGCCACCGCUUUGACAUCGUCCUUCAGAGUGAUGUUUCUGGAUGGAGAGUGGGGUCAAGAACGUUCAGGUUCAGGGGACUGGAUUUAAUGUGCAGAGUCUUAAAGACAAAUCCUUAGAAGACUGGAUUUUCUUUUUGACUGGAGCAAGAUAUCUUGUGUUAUUUCCUGGGGUUUAUUUCCUCCUCCUAAAAUUACAAUACAUUCCAAAUGUUGCAUAAAAUGAAAGAGGAUCUCCUUAUUGAACUAUUAGCUCCUUGAAGGGAGGCAGUAACUCUGGAUUUCCAGCACCAAGAUUAGUGCCUGGCCCAGAAAAUAGCCUUAAAACAAGUAUAAUGAGAUGAAAAAGUCCCCGUUUAAAGACUUUGCCUGGUCUGGUUUAGCCCAGAUUCAGCUCUCAAUCCGGUGUCUGCCUCAUGCUGGCUAUAGGGUUACAGGCUCUGGAACUGAUUUUCCAGAAAACCCGAUGAAAGGAGGACUUAGGAAGAGCACCCAUUUUGAAGCCUGGGACUUAGCCGUCAAUCAAUAAGUGACAGGGAUUACUGCUUUGUCCGUAAAAUGCCCAAUGAUUGUUCAUGUAACUUUCGCAUUGUCAUCUUAAGUCUCUUCUAUCAGAAUCCUAACUUGGCACAAAACUGCUAACCCAUGGAACAUUCUGUGGUCACACGGCCCCAUAGGACCAGGAGGAAUGCAGCCUGUCUGGUCAAAAACUAAUGCAAAAGGUCUCAGUGAUAAAAGGGCCACCAACAAAAGCAAGUCAGGGUUAUGGGUGGGAGAAAGGCCACCAACUUUCCCACCAGCUGGAUACAAUCUCAACAAAGUCACCCUCAGGCCACAUGCCCUCAUUUUCCACCAUGGCCUCUGCCCCGAGACCCUCCGGCCAGGGCACAGGAGCCCAAGAGAAUGGAAUGAAUACCUCAGGUGGCUGUACCUUCCUGUAGAACUGUCUUCCUUUGUCAAUAAUAAAAGGUCAGCGGUGGACAUCACACCAAGAAAACAAAGCAUCCAAGUGGAUGACAGUCCUUAUCAAUGAUUUAUCGGCUAAAGUGGUAACAUUUAAUGUGUACACAAUGCCUACUGUUUUUAAAAUCCACUGGGGCUGGAAAAACCAUUUGGAAAUUCUUAUACGAAGACUGGAAUAAAGGAUGUGAGCUGACAAGCACUCCUGUCUGCUGCCCCCAGUCUUCUAUCAAUAAUUAUCUCCAUGGCCCCAGAGUGCAGAGGCACAAAAACCCAUCAUUUCAAGACUUGAGGAGUUCCCUUGUAGCACAGUGGGUUAAGGAUCUGGUGUUGUCACUGCAGUGGCUUGGGUUGUUGCUGUGGCACAGGUUCGAUCCCUGGCCUAGGAACUUCCACAUGCAGAAGGAGAGGCAAAAAAAAAAAAAAAAGACUUGAAAUAUUCAAUCUUAGGUUGACAAGUCCUACAGAGGGAUACCUCUAUUACAGGAAAACAAAGGCUUUGAACAUGCACCUUUCCUGCUGCCCUCAGCUCUAAGGGCAGCUCUGCACUGAGGGAGAAACAGGGAUUUGUUUGAUAUUGUUUUUUAAAAUAUCUUUAUUUUUUUUGGCUGCACCCAUGGCGUAUGAAAAUUCCUGAGUCAGGGGUCAAACCUGCACCACAGCAGUGACGACACCAGAUGCUUAACUGCUAGGCCAUCAGGGAACUCAAAAAAUAUACAUAUCUUUAAUGUUCUUCAAUUUACAAAAACAAUACUUAUUUUAAAACAACCUGAAACAUGACUCAAAUUUAGAAAAUGAAAAGUUCUCCUAAUCUCAUUUCCUUCUGAGUAGUUUUUUAUGCGAAGAUUAGAGAAAAAAAACCUAAGUAAUACUUUUUUUUUUUUUU
rnacentral:lncRNA from 9 species